UGUGGGAGCGGGCUUGCUCGCGAAGGCGUCAGAUCAGUCAGUAUUUUUGCUGGCUGACACACCGCUUUCGCGAGCAAGCCCGCUCCCACA
rnacentral:antisense_RNA from 1 species